rnacentral:ncRNA from 1 species
UCUAUCACAAAGGAGUGCUUCGGCUGAGAUCGCAUCUGCGAAAUCCUCGAACCUGAUCUAGUUAACACUAGCGUAGGGAUUGUGUUUGAAACAUAC